CCAGCAAUCUCCUUCUUUAUUUCACUGAUGUUUUGGUUUCUCCUUUUUCAGCCGUUUUCAUUCUUCCAGGGCUUUUAAUCGAGUGCACGUUCUCCCUUUCAUGUCUUCCGUUCCAUCUUCACUCUCUUUGCCUCUCUGUCUCUUAUGUUUCUUUGUUUGCGAUGUUGAGGCCAAGGAUUCCUCUCCCCAUUACAUCGCAAGGCCCUCUCUUAAACCACCAAAGUUGUGGCUGACGUUUUUUUCCGCAGCGGCAUCGGCAUCGGCAUCGGCGACGAGGUGAAGACCCUGAGGGCUCCGGCGACGUGCGAGGUAGGGGAGAUAGGUGGAUGGCGAACUGAGGAAUCGGUCCCGUCCAUUAGGAACUGAGGAAUCGACUGCGAGAUUCGCACAGCAGGUGAUAAAAAUCUUCUUCUCCUCCAUUUUAUCCCUAUUUGUGAAUCCGCUCUUCUUACUAUGCUCUGGGUUGGCUUAACAUUAUUUUCUUCUUGGAUGAUUUGCGGCUUCACUAAUCUGUGAAAGGUUGAAAGACAGGCUAGCGGAGUUUUCAAAAUGUGAGUAUGAGCUGUUUGAUGAAUUGACCAGUUUAAUCAGAGGAGAAGCAUUGGAUGGCAUAGAGAUGAUAACACACCCUACCUCAAGCAACAUCACCUUUCAGUGAGGUUUAUUCAACCUUUUUGUACAUAUUGAUAUCCUGUUAUAAUUUGCACUCUUGCUGAUAGACAACUUUUGCCUUCAAUUGGUAAAACCAUUGAAGGCUCAUGUAGUCAAGGUGUUAUUCUCACAGAAGAAAGAAGCUUUAUCCUCCGAAACUGAAGCGGUGAAUCCAGAUGUGAUACGAACCAGGUCAAAGCCAUAUCCUCUUCAUUUCCAUUUUUCUUUUCGUGAGAGGGAAGGGCUUGAAGGUGGAAUUUGCAUUGUCAUCUAAUUUUUAUCCUGAUUGAGUGAAUUUUUCCCGUAUGGAAAAAGGAUACCUGACCAGGGUCUUCAGGGAAUAUACAAUACCUCUGAUUUCCUUGAACCUAACAUUAAAAUAAUAAUUCAAUUAGUAUCACAUAAUUACUCAAUUAGUAGUUGUGCUGGUCGUGCACAUGCAGGAAGAAGAAAGAGUGAUUAUUCUUUGUUGCUUUGGGAAGUGAAAAACAUCUUUAUGUGGUAGUUAACCAGAAAUUGGUUGAUAUAUUAUUUCUUACAGAUUGUUGAUGCCUCAUGUUCCCUGAUCCACUCCCCAUGUAUGGCAAGCUAAGUGCCUGAAAAUAAGGAAAAGAGUAUUUUCCAGAACUUUGAAAAGUAAAGAAUUGUUUGUUCGAAGAAUUUUCUUUGUUGUGUAACAUUUCUCAUGUUGAAAUAACUUUAUGUGUCGGACCGGGUCAGGGCAGGUUUAUGCGAAUAUGAAUUCCCUCAGUAUUGUGACUCUCAAAGAUGAGUUUCACCAAGAUGGAAAUGAGAAGGUUUGACAUAUAAUUCAUCAAAUACCUCUGUUAUUGCGAGUUUCAAUGAGCAUAACCUGAGGUCUGUUCUGCUUUUAUUAGUUGUUUCUUGAUACUACAGUGCUGAAUUUUAUAUUUGUGUGCAUUUGCCCUUGAGUAAUAGAUUAGGAAGCUUUAAAUGGAUAGUUUUAGACAUUGAAUAGCACUUGACUUUACAUAAGACUUGGACUCUAAAAUAUCAAAUCGCUUAAAAGAGGAAACUGGAUAAAAGAAAAGGGUGGUAGGAUUCUACCAGUUAAAUUGUUUGACUGAGUCUAUUUUCAAAUUUAUAUUAUUUUGAUGGUUUGAAAUUCUGAUGUAACAAUUGCAAUGCAUGCCAAUGAGUAUAUAGUUUCUGAAAAGUUUCUUUUCAUGACUCUUUCUAGAUUCUUUUGUCUAUCCGGUUACUCACUCCCUAUUUAUUUGUUGGCUUGCUGAAAAAAAUUCAGGAAACAAACUCAUGCUUUUGUAUUCAUUGCUUUCACACUUAGUGGCCUCCCAGGCACUGGGAACCAAAUGAAUUCAAUAUGUUACCAAGAAGAAGCAAAAUGCAGGUUGUGCCAAGAAGAAGUCAAUGGUGGAGCACACACAAGAGGAUCAUGAAGCUCACUCAUGGGAACAUCAAAUACAGUACCAAGUCAAGAGCCUAGACAAUGUGCAACUGCAUGUGUUCAGUGAAGCUCCAUCCUCAAGCUCAUCUUCAUCUUCUUGCCACAGUCCUAUUCUUGCCAAAUUUCUCAGAUUCAAAUUACAAGCUGAGAUGAUGAAGGGUCUCAAACAAUCCUCUUUGUGACAUGAGAAUGUGAAAUCAAGCUAGCAUUAGUUUUAAAGUGAUCCAUGUUUAUUUAUCAUAAAAAAGUGAUCCAUGUUUAUGAUAUGAAUUACUUGAAUUUGAUGGCUUAUAAGGAUUGUGAUUAUACAUGGUGGGGUGGUGUUAAAAAUUGAGAAUAAGAACAAGCCCUUUGCACAAAUGGAGUAUCUCCCUUCUGAAUACGUUUCAUCUAUCAAGUUUCAUGGCCACAUGUUAUGCUAUAGAGAUGAUUUGACAUUGGUGAAUGCCAUAUGUUACAUUAUCACAUACUAUUUUUUAUCAGGCUUAUUUUAUAUGUAAUAAUUCAUUUCCUCUUACAUAUAUGUAAUACCCAUCCUUAUUUAAUUAUUUGUUCCUAAUUA